rnacentral:lncRNA from 1 species
UUGGGUUAUUUAUUCGGGUGGCAAUUGUUAUAGGCCAAUUUUGACACAGUUACACUUACAAAUUAAACCCAAUACAAGACAGCCCAAUAACCCGAUAGGCCCAAUUAUCUUACCCAAUACCCCUGACCCAUUUACAUUACAAUACCUAUCAGCCCAAAUUAUCCAUUUAUAACCCAAUCCCUAAACCCCUCCACCCAUUUUGAACCCAAUUCAGAAGCCCACUGACCCACAAAACCCAAAAUACAAAAACACCUAACCCUAAUCACCCCUUAGCCGAACCACUUGCCUACUUGCACCUGCCCUUGUCCCAUCCAUCACCGACGUCUGCCACCAGCUCUGCAGCACCGCCCAUCUACCUGCAAGCAAGUAAACAGAGAAGAGACAGAAAUAAUAAAAAAUGAAUGUAAAAGGGUUAUAAAACCCAAAUCAGAAUGGUAAAAAAAGGGGGAUUUUUCUUUGAAUAAAAAAAGGGCAGUGAUAUUUCCAGAAUACAAAAAAUGAGGUAUCAAUCUUUCAACAACACCAUAGCAGAUCGAGUAUAGAAAGAAACAGAAGUAAAACAAGUGUAAAAAAAACAGAAGGACCAUCACAAAUCGGAGAACCAAGCACUCUAAAAUCUAAACCGAAAGAUUAAGGUGAUCUAUUUUUAUUUCUUAUUCAUUUUCUAGCCUAUUUUUAAUCUAGAAGUAGAUAUUUAAUAAAUAUUACUAAAAUAAAAUAUACAAAAAAUAAAAAGAAAAAAAUUAAAAAUUUUACCUUUCACGAUGGCCGGCGCCGGUGCCGGCGAGGGUCCGUCGACCGGACGGUGGCCGACCUUUGGCCGGUAG